GUGUUUGUGGGUGGGGCAUCAUCAAGAUUCACAUGGAUUAAGACAACUCCGGUGGUUCUACAUGAGAAUCUUGAUGAUGCUGCAUCGGCAAACAA
rnacentral:pre_miRNA from 1 species